GACGAACGCUGGCGGCGUGCUUAACACAUGCAAGUCGAACGCAGUGGCGAACGGGUGAGUAACGCGUAAUCAACCUGCCAUUCAGAGGGGGACAACAGGUGGAAACGACUAAUAAUACCGCAUACUGAGGGAGGGGAUUGCGUGUGUUUGGCUAGGUGGAGGGGUAAGGGCCCACCAAGGCGAGGAUCAGAAGCCCGUCGGAGAGGAGUAACGGCCACAAUGGGAACGAGACAAGGCCCCUACUCCUACGGGAGGCAGGCAUGGGGAAUUUUCCGCAAUGGACGAAAGUCUGACGGGGCAACGGCGCGGGGGUGAUGACGGCCUUCGGGUUGUAAAGCUCUGGUAAUCAGGACGCGGUACCGGAAUAGAAAGCCACGGCUAACUACGUGCCAGCCGCCGCGGUAAUAC
rnacentral:rRNA from 1 species